rnacentral:rRNA from 1 species
UACGUAGGGUGCGAGCGUUGUCCGGAAUUAUUGGGCGUAAAGAGCUUGUAGGCGGCUUGUCGCGUCUGCUGUGAAAAUCCGAGGCUCAACCUCGGACUUGCAGUGGGUACGGGCAGGCUAGAGUGUGGUAGGGGAGACUGGAAUUCCUGGUGUAGCGGUGAAAUGCGCAGAUAGCAGGAGGAACACCGAUGGCGAAGGCAGGUCUCUGGGCCACUACUGACGCUGAGAAGCGAAAGCAUGGGGAGCGAACAGG